AUUGUAGAUCAGGCUUAACUUUCAAAUAUAUAUCUAUUUCACUUUAAGUGCACACUAAUUCAGGGAGUUCAAGAACAGAAAACAAACGGCUUGAGUGCAAAAAUUUUUGAGAAUUUCGAGCAACUCGAACAAACCUUUUAUCUCAUCUCGAGUGCAAAAAUUUUUGAGGAUUUCAAGCAACGCGAACAAACCUCAUAAUUGCCAUAAUUGGAGUUUUAUUGCUUGCGUGCAUGUACUGCAUCAAAGUCAAUUUGCAAAAGUUCGAGCAAUAAUUAGUCAUUAAUCACAAUGGAUAAUGUACGAAGUCUACAAUCUUUUCUAACGUAUUGGUACUUCCGAUACACGCUCGUUACCGAGUUGUAUAUGGUAGAAGCAUGGGAAAGGACUUUUAUCAAUAUUUUUCUUCUAGUACUGUUUUCUUUUUUCUUCGUCUUCAAUUACAAAGGACUGCUGCCAAUUACUCAAUACAUUUCAGAUAAUCUAUGAUUAUUUUUCUUGCAACUUCUAGAAAUUAUACUAUUUUGAUAUUUCAUUCAUAAUCAAGAUGGUAACCAUGCAAAAUAUAAAUUGUAAAGAAUAAUUAAUUUUGUAGUAUAUUUAACAUCUAAAUGCAAGAGAUACAACAGAAAGUUGUUAAAAAUGAAUAAAUAAAUAGAAGCUAAAAGUAA